UGGGGAAUUUUGGACAAUGGGGGAAACCCUGAUCCAGCCAUCCCGCGUGUGCGGUGAAGGCCUUCGGGUUGUAAAGCACUUUUGGCAGGAAAGAAACGUCGCGGGUUAAUACCCCGCGAAACUGACGGUACCUGCAGAAUAAGCACCGGCUAACUACGUGCCAGCAGCCGCGGUAAUACGUAGGGUGCAAGCGUUAAUCGGAAUUACUGGGCGUAAAGCGUGCGCAGGCGGUUCGGAAAGAAAGAUGUGAAAUCCCAGAGCUUAACUUUGGAACUGCAUUUUUAACUACCGGGCUAGAGUGUGUCAGAGGGAGGUGGAAUUCCGCGUGUAGCAGUGAAAUGCGUAGAUAUGCGGAGGAACACCGAUGGCGAAGGCAGCCUCCUGGGAUAACACUGAUGUUCAUGCACGAAAGCGUGGGGGAGCAAACAGGAUUAGAUACCCUGGUAGUCCACGCCCUAAACGAUGUCAACUAGCUGUUGGGGGCCUUCGGGCCUUGGUAGCGCAGCUAACGCGUGAAGUUGACCGCCUGGGGAGUACGGUCGCAAGAUUAAAACUCAAAGGAAUU
rnacentral:rRNA from 1 species